GUUGAAAUACCUGGACAGGAAGCUGAGUAUGUAGCCAGUGCCAAUUGUGCGGUGAGGCAAUGUGAGGAACAGCUAUCAGCUGAGAGGACAGAGCCCUGGAAAACGUCUCACUCACUGUCUGUAAGGCAAUGGUUCACUGGCAUUCACUGGCAAUGGUUUGCAGACUUCGUGCAGAAGGUAAGAAAAAUCAGUCAAAAAAUCUGUUUUGUUAAGUGCACAAAUAAUUUGACUUUCAAACUUUGAUGGCAUUUUUGCUUUUGAGGAACAAUGAAUCCGCAUCAAUCCAUCCAUCCACCCACCCAAUUCUGUGGGGGGUCUGGAAUUUAUUCCAGGGCAGGGGGACACAAUGGGUAGGAUGUCAGUCCAUCAGAGGACAUACACACACACAGUCACACACACAAACAAAAUUGCAGACGAUCACACACUUUUGGGACACUGGUUUGCCUAAAUGCAUGUUUUUGGACUGCAUAUGGAGACUGGAAUACAUGGGCAGUUCAACUGAAGCUUUAGACUCAAGUUACUGCUGUAAAUUGAAUUGGACCAGAGCUUCUGUUCCCGUUUGUCAUUCCAGCAGGUAAGUUCAGAAACAGGAACUGCAGCGUUGAGAACAUACUGAGGUGUGUAACACAUUUAUAAUGUUACUGUCCAACAACCACAUACAGUACAUGUUUAUCUAUCUAUCUAUCUAUCUAUCUAUCUAUCUAUCUAUCUAUCUAUCUAUCUAUCUAUGUCUCUGUCUGACUUAGGAUUCCCUUCAGAGAAUUAACACACUUUUUUUUUUUAUCCUUUCGGCGAAGCUCCUUAGUAAUUAUACCAUUCCAGUGUCACUGUUCCAGAAUGAUUGGCAUUCCAGUGGGUUUAGAACAUUGUAGAGUUCAAAUUAUGUUGUGAACUUACUGUGGGGCAGGACUAUUGGCGCCUAAUGAAAGAAGAGGGCAUGUGGCCUUCAACACAUAAGUAUCUAUCUGACACGGGCCAGCUGAGGUGCCAGGGGUGAUGCACAGGAUGAAGACCAGCCCAAGCCGGGAAUUACACUACAUGACUGAAGGUUGAUCAUCUACCUGUAUAUUUGCACCACGUCCAUCUGAAAUUAUCAGCAUUUCACCUACCCUUCCAUUCCUCUUCCAGCCACAUAUCCUGGGGGGGGGCAGCAUAGGAGAUGUAUGAAAAUAAAUACAUGAUCAGAAAUAUGGCAUGCUACAAAUAACACUAUGAUAUACAUUAUCAGAAUAGGCUGACCAAAUAAAGCAGAUUUCAUUUUUAAUGGUCGGGAAUGAUGGAAGCACACACAUGCUGUCAGAUAAAUUGAUUUAUAAUGACACAAAAAUGACAGUGAUAAUGUGGGCUGGCGAAUGUACUUUCCCUUUAUCACUGGCCUGUGGAAUAGAGCCAGUUGAAAUCUUUAGAUCUCUGUCUACAGUGAGCCGGCAGGAGGUAGAACGGCAGCAAAGGGCUGGAUUUGGGUAGGCGCUUGCGUUGCCAUGGCGAUUGAUUACCUGCCCCAAGUCUUACAUCCACCGUGGUUAAUGAAAGCCAGCUGGGCCCCGAUUGGCCUCAUUUUGUUAUUGGGGCUUAAACAGGUCCCACUGGGUUGUUGUGGGAGACUUUGGAAGUCUGGGAGCCGCUUCUGAUAGCUGAAGGAGCAGCUCAGCGUUCAGUCUUCUGCCACCUUCCCCUCCUCAGCUCUGCUCUGCUGUCUGUUUCUCCCCAUCACCUUCAGCUCUGUACAUUCUAUGCAAUCAAAUUCAUUCCCUGGGAAGAACGGCUCUCCAAUCAAAGUCCAGCUGCAAAAAUGUUUUAUUUCCAAACGCCGAAGGCAACAAGGAAUCCGCUUCCCUGCAGACCCUCACCAAAGCCCCGCCUUGUCUGCCGUUGCGCUGAUAUUGACAGGCUGCUCUGGGGCUCUCUGAAGGCAGGUCCUUAAAGAAGCACCAUCCAAACGCUCAUUUUUCCUUUAUUCCUUCCUUUUCGUGAAACAACAUAAUUGGUGUUAUCUUUUUGUCCAGUUCAAGGCUGGAAUUAGAUGAUUUCCUUGUGCUUUUUGUGUGUUUCAUCUACUUUUUCAAAGACGUGAUUGGGGUCCGUUAGUGUCUCUCGGCCGGCCUUCAGCGGGUUCCUGCUGUGGACUGGCUCUCUGUCCCGGGCCUCGUGCUCACUUCCCUGGGAUGGGCGUCCGCCUCGCUUUGACCUUGCUUGGGAUAAGAAAUUCAAAGUAAUUCCAAGUGUUCACAGUGCUCAUUAUUUUAAUGUUAAUAUUGCCAUUGUAAGAUGUUGAAAACUGCCAUUUGCUCCUUUCCUAUGCGUAAUGUCAUACAAAUAAAGCUAAUGUAUGCAUCUCCUUUGCCCCUGGUGGCUUGUUGUGAGGUCAGCGGAUAUUUGCAUCCAAGCACGGACGGGAUAGGGAUCUCUCAUUUCCUUAGUUUGGGACUUGACUGAUUUUUGUGAAGGUUGUCUUUUGUGCCCGUUCCUUCACCCCAUCAAAUUAUUGACUGGAACAGCAUCAAACACUCCAUGCUGUGAAAGCUCAUGUUAUAUAAAUGCAUUUUGCAGGUAAUGCUGUCUAUUAUGCCGAUUCUCUGGUCUGCCUGUUCAAACUACUUAGGUAUCGCUGCUAUCUGUCUUAUCCACUGUUUAUUUGAAACUGACAUCUUACCCUGGUUUGAUGUUGACACACCUGAAAUCAAACGAUGCUUUAUUUUCCAUUUACACAAAUAUGACUACAGGUACCCUGGAAUGUUUC